rnacentral:rRNA from 1 species
UACGGAGGGGGGCGAGCGUUAUUCGGAAUUAUUGGGCGUAAAGGGCGCGUAGGCGGCCCCGGUAAGUCAAAGGUGAAAUCCCUCGGCUCAACUGAGGAACUGCCUUUGAAACUGUCGGGCUUGAGGCCGGGAGGGGGUAGCGGAAUUCCCAGUGUAGCGGGUGAAAUGCGUAGAUACGUGGGAGGAACACCAGUGGCGAAGGCGGCUACCUGGACCGGUUCUGACGCUGAGGCGCGAAAGCGUGGGUAGCAAACAGG